GUCGGUGUAGUAUAGUGGUCAGUACGUAUCGUUGUGGAUCAGCAAUCCCGAUGAGACGGCGGUUCGAUUCCGCCCACCGACA
rnacentral:tRNA from 1 species